UAUAAUUAAGGGGAGGAAAAGAAACCAACUCGGAUUCCCCUAGUAACGGCGAGUGAAGCGGGAAGAGCUCAUGUUGUAAAUCUCCAGCUUGCUGGCGAAUUGUAGUCUAAAGGUGCGUGCUCAGUCGUGGUCCCGGGCUAAGUCUGUUGGAAAACAGCAUCAUGGACGGUGACAAUCCGGUUCUUGCCUGGGGUCCCGCGGCGUACGAGCCGUUUCCGACGAGUCGUGUUGCUUGGGAUUGCAGCACUAAGUGGGUGGUAAAUUCCAUCUAAAGCUAAAUAUUGGUGGGAGACCGAUAGCGAACAAGUACCGUGAGGGAAAGAUGAAAAGACUUUUGAAAAGAGAGUAAAAUAGUACCUGAAACUGCUGAAAGGGAAGCGAUUGAAGUCAGUGUUGCUCCUGGUCUUUUUGCCGUCGCCCCCGUGGGGGUUGCGGCGUGGGGCCUGGAGCGUUUCAACAUGCGUUCUGUUCCGCGGGAAAUGUUCAGUGUGCUGGAACCUUCGGGGAAACGCACUGUUCUUGUCGUGGUUAGGACGGAGGACCUUUGCUCCUUUGACUGCGCGUUCCUCUCUCGGGUAUGCUGGUGUCUACUGCUUGCAGUUUUCAUUUUCAUGCUUGCGACUGUGCGUGUUAUUCAUGAGCGAACAUGAUGUUGAAGAAAUGGCUUUAAUUACCCCGUCUUG
rnacentral:rRNA from 1 species